rnacentral:rRNA from 1 species
AAUCAACGCUGGCGGCGUGCCUAACACAUGCAAGUCGAACGCGAAAGUCCCGCAAGGGGCAAGUAGAGUGGCAAACGGGUGAGUAACACGUGGGUGACCUGCCUUCGAGUGGGGGAGUAACGUCCCGAACGGGACGCUAAUACCGCAUGACAUCCUGCUUUUGGUAAAAGACGGAGAUCAAAGUCGGGGAUCGCAAGACCUGGCGCUCGAAGAGGGGCCCGCGCCUGAUUAGCUAGNGGUGAGGUAACGGCUCACCAAGGCUACGAUCAGUAUCCGGCCUGAGAGGGCGGGACGGACACACUGGGACUGAGACACGGCCCAGACUCCUACGGGAGGCAGCAGUGGGGAAUUGUUCGCAAUGGGCGCAAGCCUGACGACGCAACGCCGCGUGGAGGAUGAAGAUUUUCGGAUCGUAAACUCCUGUCGAGUGGGAAGAACAGCUUUCGGGCGAAUAUCCUGAAGGCCUGACGGUACCACUAAAGGAAG